CUCAGUUGUGUAAUCCGUUGCAUUCGAAACCAAAAAGGGAAAGAGAGAAACUGAGCCUGUCUUUAGGGUCUUCACAGGCUGCUGUGGUUGAGGGGUGGGACAACAAAUGGAUAAACGAUUACAAUACAGCAAACAGCGCGUUUUCUUUAACUUAAACGUACAGAGUUUGCAUGCGCAGGAACUCAAGCUGCACAGACUGGGAAGCGGAGCGGCUCACUCCCAGCCAGCGUUCACAUUUUGUGCCCCCACACAGAACCCUGCUCAGAAGGAGGAAGAGAAGGAAAGAGCCAUCAAUUGCCUUCCUUACGCACCCCAACCAGGGACAGAACCGACAACCCAGCCAGGACGAUGCCCAACAGCUGAGCCACACUGACGGGGCCAUGUCUUUGCUGUUUACUGACAAGGAAGAUAUUCCAUGUUCUUUCUUCAACUGAACAGAAACAAGUUUAAACUAUGAGGCACAGCUACAUGUUUGGGUGCUGACCACACACAGGCCUCCAAGCACUGGUGUGUGGGGAGGAAAGCUGGUAUCAACCUCACUUACUCAUAAAGCAGGACGAAAACCACGCAGCUUUAUGACUCCCCCAGCAGUGCAAUGUGGCUGACUCUAUGCAAUUCUUUCAAUUUCUGUUACAGCUGCUUCUCCUACAGAUUCGGUCAGCUGCCACUGUGGUUGCCUGUAGCAGCUCUCACCAGUCCGACCAGCGUGGGAAGGAACAGGAGUGGGUCAGCAUGCAUCCCCCUUACUGUGAGUGACAAGAAGCCCACUUUUCAGCUGUGCACACACUUCCCAGCCUCCCUGUCCCACGUUAUGGCCUAUGACAUGGUGAGGCCGUGUCUGUGGGCAGGCUGCUCCCAGGGAGCUGGCAGGUUUUGGAGGCGCUUCUUCUCGUCCCUCUUCCUUGUGUCCAUGUUUUGUAUGACUGGCUGGAGCUGGAGCAGCCACCAAGGGUUAUGUGAUGACCGUAAGGACCCACAGCACGCACCAUGGUGGUGGUGCAGGAAAGCAGAGGCCAGGGGCCCAGUAACAUCACAGAACCACCUUACCAGUCCUGGACUGCUCGUCUCCAGCCUCUCUUAUUUAGGAGAAAAACAGACUUUGAUUAAGUCACUCCUACUUUUUAAAAAGAUUUUAUUUAUUCCUUUUUAGAGGGGAAGGAAGGGAGAAAGGGAGAGAGAAAAAUACCAAUGUGUUGCCUCCCACAUGCCCGCCACUGGGGACCCCACCCACAACCCAGGCUGUGCCCUGACCAGGGACCGAACCAGUGGCCCCCUACUUCGCAGGCCAGCACCCAGUCCACGGAGCCACACCAGCCAGGGCUCACCCUACUCUUUUUGUCAUUCAACCAUAUGCAAAACCAAACCCUUGGAAAACCAUGAUGCCUAACCGAUCUUCCCAGUCCAUGGCAGAAUAUGGAGCCUUCUCCAGACAGCAGAGCCUAGGCCGCUGCUGUUACUCAACAAGUGACGUGUCUGGAAGUGGUGUCCCCUACACUUAAUACUCUUCAUCGUGACGAUGACAUCGUUAGGUUCACAACACAGAGAUCAUAAUCUCCAAGUGACUUUUUAUUAUUUGAGUUUCAAAGAAUUCCAGAACAAGCAGCAUUUUAAAAUUGCAUCAGACAUGUACUCAAUUGUCUAGGCGGCAGUCACUACCCUGCACUGGAGUUAUGAAGAGCGACAGCAGCUACAUGAAUUCGGCACAGUUCCUUCAAAUCACUGAGGAAUCUUUUCUCCAGUUUAAUUUCUAACUGGAAUCAAUGAGAUCUCACGGCAGGGAUGGCGGUGAGGAAUGGUAAAAUUAGGGCAUCUUGGCUUUCCAAAAUGCCUCUGCUGGUUGGGGGUUAGUAAAGCCACCGGGGGGCACAGUCACCAUUAACCUGCACUGUAACACACCUGUUUGGUUUUAUAGCAGUCUCUUGCUGUAGCAUAUGCAAAAAAUAUCCACCUGCUCUUGUUCUGCUUCGGCCUGUACAUCUGUGGAUAGCUGGCUUGCUGAUGGCUUCAAAGCCCUCACUCAGUCACCAGGUUCUCUGCUACCUGGAGACGCAUCACCAAGGUCUGCACCACGUCAAGGGCUCUGAGAACUCCUGCGUCAAGGAUGCUGUUCAACUCCGACCCCCCAGUGCCAUCUUGGUCAGUUAUCGUAGAACAAAGCUGACUCCAAGGAAAACAAAGGAGGAAGAGUGGGGGCAGACAGCCUCCAAGUCCACCCGCUCAACCCCAGGGUUGGCUAGAGGGAACUCUCCUAAAGUUCGGCUUGCUUGUUCAUGUUCUGUCUCCGACGUCCCAUGCGGGGAGGGCACUUCAGUGAGCCGGCCUGUCUUUGUGGUGGUACCUCCGAUGCUGAGAAAGACCUGACCUCUGCCUGAAGGCUUCUCCGCACUCACUGCACUCAUAGGGUUUUUCUUCAUUGUGGAUCCGCAUGUGCUGAGCGAGGUGGGAGUUCAGUCGGAAGGCUUUCUGGCAUAUGUUGCAGGUGAAAGGUUUUUCUCCAGUGUGAAUCCUGUGAUGUCGAAUCAGGUCUGAGGUCAAGCUGAAGGCCUUCCCGCAGGCGUGGCACUGGUGGCCCCUGGAGUGGCUGUGGGUUCGCUGGUGGUGGGUGAGGAGCAGGGCCUGGCUAAAGGUCUUGCCGCACUCCCCGCACUCACAGGGCUCCUCCUGACUGUGGAUCCUCUGGUGCCGGUUCAGGUGAGAGCUGCGCCUGAAGUUCUUCCCACAGUGGAUACAGAGAAAAGGUUUCUCUCCAGUGUGGAUUCUGAGAUGCUCCAAGAGGCCUGCAUUCUGGCUGAACACCUUCCCACAUUCCUUGCACCGAUAAGGCUUCUCACCAAGAUGGAUUUUCUGAUGUCUGACAAGGUGUGAGCUUCUCUGAAAGGCUUUCCCGCACUCAUGACACUGAUGGCUUUUCUCUCUAGAGCGGAUUUUCUGACG